UUGGUUCAGCAAUAGCCGAAUGACUAAAUAUCAAGCCAUGCUAUGCGAAAAUCCAAGAGUACACCUUGAGACUGUUAGUACCCUGAAUAUAGCUACCCUUUUGCUACAACCUAUUGAAAGUCAACAUGAUUGUUUGGAGAUAAUGGAUGAAGUGUUUUCAAGCCGACCGGACCUUCAUGACUUUCCCAUCCAGAACCCGGAUGUACAGUAUUAUACGGAUGGUAGUAGCUAUGUGAAAGAAGGAAUUCGCUAUGCAGGAUAUGCGGUAACAACUA